rnacentral:rRNA from 1 species
GACGAACGCUGGCGGCGUGCUUAACACAUGCAAGUCGAACGAAGAGCGAAGGAAGCUUGCUUCUAUCAAUCUUAGUGGCGAACGGGUGAGUAACGCGUAAUCAACCUGCCCUUCAGAGGGGGACAACAGUUGGAAACGACUGCUAAUACCGCAUACGAUCUAAUCUCGGCAUCGAGGAUAGAUGAAAGGUGGCCUCUACAUGUAAGCUAUCACUGAAGGAGGGGAUUGCGUCUGAUUAGCUAGUUGGAGGGGUAACGGCCCACCAAGGCGAUGAUCAGUAGCCGGUCUGAGAGGAUGAACGGCCACAUUGGGACUGAGACACGGCCCAGACUCCUACGGGAGGCAGCAGUGGGGAAUCUUCCGCAAUGGACGAAAGUCUGACGGAGCAACGCCGCGUGAGCGAUGACGGCCUUCGGGUUGUAAAGCUCUGUUAAUCGGGACGAAAGGCCUUCUUGCGAAUAGUGAGAAGGAUUGACGGUACCGGAAUAGAAAGCCACGGCUAACUACGUG